ACACUACGGCCUGCACUGACGUUCUUCAUUAAUGUUUAAAGGAUUCCCUUUAGUUGAGUAAGCAAGGGAAAAUCACAAACCAACAAUCAACCAACUUACCAAACAAACAAUAACUUCAUGAGUGGGAAAUUUGAUUUAGAUUUUAAUUUAGAAGUAAAAAUUCCGAAAUAUCUUGGAAAUUACAACUGGAAUCUGCACUUAAAGAAGUCCUUUGGGGACUGAAGAAGAUUGUUUUCUUUAAUAUGUGUCUGUGUCUGUGUGCACAUGUGCAUAGGUGCCCAGGGGGAGAGUGUUGGGUCUUCCAGAGCUGCAGUUACAAGUAGCUGUAAGCUGUCCAAUAUAUAUUCUGGGACUCCAACUCUAGUCCUCUUCCAAAGCAGCAAGCACUCUUAACUGCAGAGCCCGUCUCUCCAGCCCUAAAACAGAAUAAAAAAAUUAUUGAGAUUAGUUUAUAUAUCAUAUUACUGGCUUGUUCAAAAAGAUUCUUUUAUUUCAAGGAUUUUUAAUAUAUUCACUGUUAUGCAACCAUCAUUAAAUCAGUUUUAGAACAUUUUUAUUAUCUCAAGAAGAAACCACAAGCCUACUAACAGUCUCUCCACCUGCACUGCUCAGACUUUUCAUCGCUGUGACAAAUGCCUGAAAGAGACAACUUGAAAGAGGGGAGAUCUAUUCCGGCCCCUGGUUUCAGUGCCUUCAGUCCAGGGUUCAUAUGGUUCACAGGCUGAUGGGGAGGCAGAACAUCUUAAGAUGUACGGCACAGAAGGCGGCUUAGCUAAAGAUAGCCAGUGAGUGGAGAGGGAGAAGCGAGAUCAUGUAACGAUAUAUCUCUCCCACGCAUGUUUUCACUGGCCUGCUUUCCCUAACUAGACCCUCAUAUUUUCACCACCUCUCAAUAUAUCAUAUUGUGAAUCCAUCAAGGGAUUCAUCUAUUGAUUAGGUCAGAGCCCUCAGAAGCCAAUUACUUCUUUAAAGUCCCACCUCUGAACUCUGGUCGCAUCAGGACCAAGCUUCACAUCCAAACCAGAACACCUCCACAGCUAUGGGGAGAUGAGGGGGAAGGAGGAUGUGGGUAGGGCAUUAACCAUGGCUGAUUCACUACUGUUGUCCCACAGAGACAGAAACUGGGUGUCCCUCAGGUGACAUAGCUAGAACAUGCACAUAGGGUUCAAAACUAGGCUUCCUAUCAAUACAGAGAGCUCAAGACAGGACCUAGGAAAAGCCAGAAGUCCCCCAGGGGUGCUUUCUUGUUACCUACAAUAUAACCAGCUCCCCAUAAAUGAUGUGUCUUCCUGGAAUCAGGCAAAGGUGUUAGCAGAAAGGGACAGCUAUUAGAUGUCAGAACUCAGCAGCUCUACGGCUAGGGAUGGCCUAGACUCUAAUCCAAAAUUUUACUUUCUGUCAAUAUGAAUUUGUCCAUGAAAUACACAAUAUUGGCCUUUUGUGACUGAGGGUCUGUCUUCAUGUGUGUCAAAAAUAGGAAUCAGAUACCACUACAGAUGGUUGUGAGCCACCAUGCAGUUGCUGGGAAUUGAAUUCAGGAUCUCUGGAAGAGCAGCCAGUGCUCUUAACUGCUGAGCCACUCUGAAGUCUUACAAACAGCCCCUGACUCUAAUUUCUCUGCAUCUCCUCUAGCGGUUGUUACCAUGUUUUCUUUUAUUGCAGGCUUCAUGGUGAUGGUAAAUGACAUCAUCUCCAUUUCCUAAUGGCUCCUGGUGUUGAAUGUCUUUUCUCACGCUUGUGAGCCAUGUGUAAAUCUCCCAUUCAAAUCUUUGCCUUUAAGAAAAUGGGUUGUUUAUCUUUUAAUUAUUGAUACCCACAUGUUCUUCCUCUAAGCUAGAUACAAAUCUCUUCUCACAUAUUUUAAACUAUUUUCUCUCAUUUGGUGGAAUUUUUUUCCUUUAGAGAUAUACCCUUUGAAACAUGAAGUUAUUUUUUGUUUUUGUGUUUUAAAUACUGAUCAAGUCUAAGUUGUCCAUGUUUUCUGAUGUUGCUUGUUCUUCUGGUGUCAGGCAUACAAACUUAAGUACGCGAUGAGUAAAUAUCUCACUAGUGUAGUAGAUAACAGUCUCAUACCUAGAGAUCCAGAGCCUAAUCUAAGACAGUAAUGAUUUACACAUAUCUGUUCUCAGAACAUUCAUUUUAAGUUAAAGAUUGUGUCCUAGAAGGAUCCAACUCCAUUUAAAUGUGACUUUUCAGUUGUCCCAGCAUCAUUUGUUUAAAAGAUCGAUUGUCUGAUGGUAGUCUUGAUAUCCAUAGUGAAAAUCAAUUGACCAUGAUCAUGGGGUUUUAUUUUCAAUAUUCCAAUUCUAUUAUAUUAAUAUGUCUAUACAUAAUUUCAGCUUUGAUUACUACAAAUUUGUCCCAAGUUUUUAAUCUUAGGGUUUCCAUUGCUUUAAAGAGACACUAUGACCAAGACAACUCUUAUAAAGGACAACACUGAAUUGGGGCUGGCUUACAGGUUCUGAGGUUCAGUCCAUUAUCAUCAUGGUGGAAAGCAUGGCAGCAUCCAGACAGGCAUGGUGCUGGGGAUUUAAGAGAUCAAUAUCUUGUUCCUAAGGCAGCCAAGAGAAGACUACUGUCUUUCAGGUAGCUAGGCGGAGGGUUUCAAAGCCUACCCCCACAGUGACACACUUCCUCCAACAAGGCCACACCUACUUCAAGGCCACAACUCCUAAUAGUGCCACUCCCUGGGACAAGCGUAUUCAAAUCACCACAGGUUUGAAUCAAAAUGUAGGAGUCCUUCAGCUUUAUUCUUCUAACUCUUCUGUGUUCCUUGCAUUUUCCUAUGAAUUUUAUGAUCAGUUUGUCCAUUUCUGCAGAGAAUAUAAAGAAAAAUUGAAGGAUAUUGCCAUCUUAACCCUUCUUGUCCAGAAGUAGAAACUAUCUAUUUACUUUCUGUUUACCUUCUUGUCUUACCAAUAUUUUUUAGUUUUCAAAAUGUUUCUACAUGUCUUUAGCCAAAUUUGUUACUAAUUAUUUUUAUUCUUUUUAUGUUAUUAUUAAUGGAAUUUCUUAAUUUUAUUGGCAGAUUUUUUCCUCACAUGUAUAGAAAUACUUUUGUAUAUUGAUCUUGCAUCUUUUAAAUUUGCAGAACAUUAUUUCAAUGUGUGUGUGUGUUAAGAUCCCUUAGGAAGGCUGAAUUUAUAGUUCAGUUGGUAGAAUGCUUACAUACAGUGCACAAAAUCAGGUUUGAUUCCUGUUACCAAAUAAACUAAUCGUGGCCAGACACAUCUCUACCAUUAGAUAAGGGCAAGUGAAGGCAAGACAAUCAGCUCAAAGCAACUCAAAAACAGUUCCUUAGGACUUUCUGUAUGGAAGAAUAUAAUAUCAUCUACAAAUAAAAGUGAAUUGGCCUCUUUUCCAGUUUUCUUCUUUAGACAUUGAGUUGUCCUCCUAUAGAGGCUUCACUAAGAGAGAUUUACAGAGGAACAUGGGAUCGUGAGGAAACAGAGCAGGCCACCCUCUCACCUCUGAGUUUCCUCGUUUCUGGAAAGUCAUACUUCUUGCUAACUGUGGAUCACUAAGGUCCCAUGAAUAGUUAAGAACUCUUCUAAACAUAUUAUAAGACAGAAAUUUUUCUGAGCAUGCCUACGAAACCUGUUAGCCUCAGUCUUUGGUACUUUCAAUGAAGGUCACAUUUGAUUUUGUUGUUGUUGUUGUCAGUUUUUUGUUUUGUUUUCUUCUGAGGCAGGUUCUCUAUGUAGCCCAGGUUGGCCUUGAACUGUCUAUGUGUCUAAUGCUGACUUGAAUUCCUGAUUUUCCUGCUUUGUGCACAUCCCAAGUUUUGGGUUUCGAGGCCUCUGCUAAGUUUCAGUGUUUUUAAGUGACAGUUGGAGCUUACUGAAAGGAUGGGGACAGGGUGGUCAAAGAUGUGGGUGUGUGCUUGGGCAGUCACGUGACAGAAACGGUACUGUCACUUUCAGGAUGCUUCUGAGGGUUUGGCAGUAAAUGCUUGCUUUACUUGCUCUGUUGGGUGACAGAUUUUCAAAUCUGUAAAACAAACAUAAUUAAUAUUUUGACUAGGGAGAUACACUCACAUAGUUUAAAAUGCUGAUGGUGC
rnacentral:lncRNA from 1 species